AUCGCUUCUCGGCCUUUUGGCUAAGAUCAAAGUGUAGUAUCUGUUCUUAUCAGCUUAAUAUCUGAUACGGGUUCGAUAGGACCCCGGGUAUUAUAGACUGAUAGAUUUUUC
rfam:Daphnia magna strain Xinb3 contig70055, whole genome shotgun sequence.